AUCCCAGCGGUGCCUCCA
rnacentral:ncRNA from 2 species